rnacentral:rRNA from 1 species
AACGAACGCUGGCGGCAUGCCUAACACAUGCAAGUCGAACGAGACCUUCGGGUCUAGUGGCGCACGGGUGCGUAACGCGUGGGAACCUGCCCUUAGGUUCGGAAUAACUCCCCGAAAGGGGUGCUAAUACCGGAUAAUGUCUUCGGACCAAAGAUUUAUCGCCUUUGGUUGGGCCCGCGUUGGAUUAGCUAGUUGGUAGGGUAAAAGCCUACCAAGGCGACGAUCCAUAGCUGGUCUGAGAGGAUGAUCAGCCACACUGGGACUGAGACACGACCCAGACUCCUACGGGAGGCAGCAGUGGGGAAUAUUGGACAAUGGGCGAAAGCCUGAUCCAGCAAUGCCGCGUGAGUGAUGAAGGCCUUAGGGUUGUAAAGCUCUUUUACCCGGGAUGAUAAUGACAGUACCGGGAGAAUAAGCUCCGGCUAACUCCGUG